AUCUCUCCUUCUCCUCCUGCUUCUUCUAUCGUUGGUGGGUAAAAUAUUGCUAGCAAUUCUUCUCCGUUUUCCCUAACG
rnacentral:sRNA from 2 species